rnacentral:rRNA from 1 species
AACGAACGCUGGCGGCAUGCCUAACACAUGCAAGUCGAACGGGAUCCUGGCUUCGGUCAGGUGAGAGUGGCGGACGGGUGAGUAACGCGUGGGAACCUGCCCAGUGGUGGGGGAUAACUGCGGGAAACUGCAGCUAAUACCGCAUGAGCCCGAGAGGGGAAAGAUUUAUCGCCAUUGGAGGGGCCCGCGUUCGAUUAGGUAGUUGGUGAGGUAACGGCUCACCAAGCCGACGAUCGAUAGCUGGUCUGAGAGGAUGAUCAGCCACACUGGGACUGAGAUACGGCCCAGACUCCUACGGGAGGCAGCAGUGGGGAAUAUUGGACAAUGGGGGGCAACCCUGAUCCAGCAAUGCCGCGUGAGUGAUGAAGGCCUCGGGUUGUAAAGCUCUUUUACCCGGGUAUGAUAAUGACAGUACCGGGAGAAUAAGCCCGGCUAACUCCGUGCCAGCAGCCGC